UACAGAGGGGGCAAGCGUUAUUCGGAAUUAUUGGGCGUAAAGGGCGCGUAGGCGGCCACCGCAAGUCAGUUGUGAAAUCUCUGGGCUUAACCCAGAAAGGUCAACUGAUACUGCGGGGCUAGAGUGCAGAAGGGGCAACUGGAAUUCUCGGUGUAGCGGUGAAAUGCGUAGAUAUCGAGAGGAACACCUGCGGCGAAGGCGGGUUGCUGGGCUGACACUGACGCUGAGGAGCGAAAGCGUGGGGAGCGAACAGG
rnacentral:rRNA from 1 species